GGGGAUGUAGCUCAAUUGGGAGAGCGCGGCCCCUGCAAGGCCGAGGUUGGCGGUUCGAUCCCGCUCAUCUCCACCA
rnacentral:tRNA from 1 species